rnacentral:rRNA from 1 species
UACGUAGGUGGCAAGCGUUGUCCGGAGUUAUUGGGCGUAAAGCGCACGUAGGCGGCUAUUCAAGUCAGAGGUGAAAGCCCGGGGCUCAACCCCGGAACUGCCUUUGAAACUAGGUAGCUAGAAUCUUGGAGAGGUCAGUGGAAUUCCGAGUGUAGAGGUGAAAUUCGUAGAUAUUCGGAAGAACACCAGUGGCGAAGGCGACUGACUGGACAAGUAUUGACGCUGAGGUGCGAAAGCGUGGGGAGCAAACAGG